UACAGAGGUCUCAAGCGUUGUUCGGAUUCAUUGGGCGUAAAGGGUGCGUAGGUGGCGCGAUAAGUCGGGUGUGAAAUCUCGGAGCUUAACUCCGAAACUGCAUUCGAUACUGGCGUGCUUGAGGACUGGAGAGGAGACUGGAAUUCAUGGUGUAGCAGUGAAAUGCGUAGAGAUCAUGAGGAAGACCAGUGGCGAAGGCGGGUCUCUGGACAGUUCCUGACACUGAGACACGAAGGCCAGGGGAGCAAACGGG
rnacentral:rRNA from 1 species